CAUGCACCAGUGGGGUCCCUUGGCCUGGCCUGCAGGGACUGGGCCAAAACCGGCAGUGUGACAUCCUCGAAGGGUCACAGAUUGCAAGAGGGUGCAGGCCAGGCCGAGGGACCCCACCGGUGCACA
rnacentral:pre_miRNA from 1 species